AUUGAACGCUAGCGGGAUGCCUUACACAUGCAAGUCGAACGGAGUGGCGAACGGGUGAGUAAUGUAUCGGAACGUGCCCAGUAGCGGGGGAUAACUACGCGAAAGCGUAGCUAAUCCCGAAUACUCUUGGGGCGGCCGAUAUCGGAUUAGCUAGUUGUUGGGGUAACGGCUCACGAAGGGGAAGAGCCGUAGCUGGUUUGAGAGGACGACCAGCCACACUGGGACUGAUACAAGGCCCAGACUCCUACGGGAGGCAGCAGUGGGGAAUUUUGGACAAUGGGGGAAACCCUGAUCCAGCCAUCCCGCGUGUGCGAUGAAGGCCUUCGGGUUGUAAAGCACUUUUGGCAGGAAAGCGGUACCUGCAGAAUAAGCACCGGCUAACUACGUGCCAGCAGCCGCGGUAAUUC
rnacentral:rRNA from 1 species